rnacentral:misc_RNA from 1 species
GAAAUGCGAUAAGUAAUGUGAAUUGCAGAAUUCAGUGAAUCAUCGAAUCUUUGAACGCACAUUGCGCCCGCCAGCCAUUCUGGCGGGCAUGCCUGUCCGAGCGUCAUUUCAACCAUCAAGCCCCGUGCUUGUGUUGGGGAGCUGCGGGCCCUCCGGGGCGCGCAGGCCCUGAAAUGCAGUGGCGGGCUCGCUGACGCACCGAGCGUAGUAGCAUAAUUCUCGCUCUGGGCGUGCUGCGGGUACCGGCCGUGAAACGACCGCUCGAGAGAGAGGACACCCAAAGGUUGACCUCGGAUCAGGUAGGAAUACCCGCUGAACUUAAGC